rnacentral:rRNA from 1 species
AGUUUGAUCCUGGCUCAGGAUGAACGCUGGCGGCGUGCCUAAUACAUGCAAGUCGAGCGAAUGGAUUAAGAGCUUGCUCUUAUGAAGUUAGCGGCGGACGGGUGAGUAACACGUGGGUAACCUGCCCAUAAGACUGGGAUAACUCCGGGAAACCGGGGCUAAUACCGGAUAACAUUUUGAACUGCAUGGUUCGAAAUUGAAAGGCGGCUUCGGCUGUCACUUAUGGAUGGACCCGCGUCGCAUUAGCUAGUUGGUGAGGUAACGGCUCACCAAGGCAACGAUGCGUAGCCGACCUGAGAGGGUGAUCGGCCACACUGGGACUGAGACACGGCCCAGACUCCUACGGGAGGCAGCAGUAGGGAAUCUUCCGCAAUGGACGAAAGUCUGACGGAGCAACGCCGCGUGAGUGAUGAAGGCUUUCGGGUCGUAAAACUCUGUUGUUAGGGUAAGAACAAGUGCUAGUUGAAUAAGCUGGCAC